GUGCUUGCUUCGCAGCACAUGUACUAAAACUGGAAUGAUACAGAGAUUGGCAUGGCUCCUGUGCAAGGAUGACACACAAAUUCGUGAAGCGUUCCAUAUUUAA